GUAGGGGAAGGAGAGGCAACGCUUCAAGAUGCACUGCCCGACUACACCCUCAGUGCUUCGGGCCCUGGCCCAGGCUGUUCGUGCAGGGCAUCCCAGUGCCCGCAGCCUCCACAGCAGUGCAGUGGCAGACACCUACAAGUACGUGAACUUGCGAGAGCCCUCGAUGGACAUGAAGUCAGUGACUGACCGGGCAGCUCAAACCCUUCUGUGGACUGAACUCAUCCGAGGACUGAGCAUGACCCUGAGCCAGCCACCAUAAACUACCCCUUUGAGAAGGGCCCGCUGAGCCCACGUUUCCGUGGGGAGUAUGCGCUGCGCCUAUACCCGUCCGGGGAGGAGUGCUGCAUCGCAUGCAAGCUUUGCGAGGCUGUCUGCCCGGGCCCAGGCCAUCACCAUCAAGGCUGAGCCGCGAGCCAAUAGCAGCCGCCGGACCACUCGCUAUGACAUCGACAUGACCAAGUGCAUCUACUGUGGCUUCUGCCAGGAGGCCUGCCCUGUGGAUGCCGUUGUCGAGGGCCCCAACUUUGAGUUCUCCACGGAGACGCACGAGGAGCUGCUGUAUAACAAGGAGAAGCUGCUGAACAAUGGGGACAAGUGGGAGGCCGAGAUCGCUGCCAACAUCCAGGCUGACUACCUCUACUGGUGACACUGCCCAGCUGGCCCAUGGCCCCUGCUGCC